CAAUGUUUCACGUGGACGGACAUUUAUUGCAGACGGACGCAGUGUUGCACCACUGAUAAUCUUUGCCAAAAAUGACAGAGGAGCGCCUUUUUUCCUCAGAGGGAGUCCUCUCCUUUGGACGGGGCUGCCAUGGUCCUGCUUCAUGGCAUCCUCAGUCGCCAUGUGUGGCUCCUCUUGACUGAGGUUCCAUGCUGGCGUCCUGUGGCCGUGGUCUGUUGUCUGAUUUUGGUGCAGACGUCUCCCUGAGAUGAUGUUUCCUCACCUGGCUUCAUUUCCCCCGACCAUAGCUAAGGUGAGGAUGACUACAGAAGACAAACCCCCUACAAUCUGCAAAUCCUGAUGGUACAGACUCGGAAAGAAAAUGCAAGUAGGGCAUGUAGGGCAUUUUCAACAUCUCACUGUCCCAUCUCAUCGACGAUCAUUCCUGUUGCGAGGGCCUCAACGUCUCCAUUGGCAGACACCUACCAAUGUGCUAAUAGGACUCCUAUGUGAUGUGUAAUUUAGUUCUGCCUUCGACACAGCCAGCCCGCAGACACUGGUUAACAAUCUGUCAGUGACUUGACAGACUUGGUAGUUCAUUCUGUAAACAGAUCUUGUAUUUUUUUAUCCACAGACCCCACAAAGUGUCUAUAAGGAUUAACAACAUAUCAUAGCCAUAACAUAGCCUGAGAUCCCAAUGCCUCGCUCAAGGGCACCUCAACCGAGCUAAGGACAAGCAUCCCAAUUGCUAGAUUUUGGAACAGAGCCUUCAAACCCUCCGGUCCACAAAUCCUUACUAACUGAGACAAGAUUCGAGCAACAAAUUUCCUUCGCCGGGAUGAAACUGCGCCACUCGUCCAUGGCCAUCCUCUUCCUCUUGGAGCUGACUGACCUUUGAUCAUGAUCCAAAUCCAGACUUUUAGUGCUCAUUUGAAUUGGGAUUCUAAAAUUCAUUGUACUAUACCACCAAAAAAAGACACUGCUGAAACAGUCCACUUAGACCACAGGCGGGCAGAAGUGACAGUUCAAAGUAAAGGCUUUGUCAUCUCAUUUAACAGCUAAAUGUUUUAAUUUGAGCUGACCUUUAAGUGUCCCUUCCCCCUCCUCCUUUCCAUUGAUAUUGGAGGUGAUCUGAAGCGGCUCAUAUGGAAUCAUUCACUGCAGCAGCCACGUGUAAGACGAUGCUGGCAAGAGGGAAGUAUUAUAUGUUUUUAUAAUUACCCUACUGUUUUCUUUGGGCUUAUCUGGUCCAUUCAUUAAACAAACUAGUUCUUAUCAAAGUGAUGAGAGUUGUACUGGAAACAGAAAUGGAAGUCUUAAACAAAUAUGGCUCCCAGAACUGACCUGGUUUGAGAGUCCAGUUCUCAUGUAGGGAUGAUUCAUUCAUCUUUCAACAGUCAUGGAGCGUACUUGCUUGCCUUCUCUUGGUGAGUCACUUAGAGUGUGUCUCGUGACCUUGAGAAGAAACCUGGU